CCUAAACACAGCGAACUCAAGCGGUUCCAGAGUUUGCAUGAUGGAAACUACCAUCCAACACUAGCGGUUGCAGCGUUGCACGAUGGAAACUGUACCCUAUUACCAGACGUUCAUAAGGCUUCAACCGGUCACUCAGUCCAACUGUUCAUACAAAAGGGAGAAACGAAACUGCACAGACCCCUCUAUCAAAUCGUGUUUUUUUUUUGGCCUUCUUCUUCAUCCACCUUUUAAUUUGAUGCUUCUGGGAAAUGAUGAAUUAGGAUCAACAAAGUACUACAAUUUGCAGGUCCGGCCACCAAAUCCCCCAUUUUAUGUGAUUUAAGAUAUUGGAGGUUAUCAUCUUCUCCCGAUUCGUGAAAAGGAUUGGGAUUACAAAGUGGAAGCUCUGAAAAAUUCCGCUCUGAAAUUGGAGCUCUCUCGCCAAUGAUUCGAGCGGAUUUUGGAGUUCGUACGAACUGGUGAUAAAUCUCUGGCGGAAGUGACGGACAUUACGAAACAACUGCUAGGAAAGUAGUGGUAUGAACUGUGAAGGAUUUUGGUAAUGGGUUUUGAAAAGGAAACGUUUAUAUCUAAUGUAUUUUCCGUUCCUUUAUACAUGAGGAUUCCUUUAUUAAUUUUUGAAUGUUAGCGGCAGUUCCUCUUAAAGUUGAUGAAAGAGUAAACUUGGUGGCGCAUAAUCGCCAGGCACUCCAAAUUUUAUAUAGCUCUUAUGAAUUUGGGAUAUUUCAGGGAAUUCACAAGCUGACCAACAAUAUUACUUUUUUAC